rnacentral:misc_RNA from 1 species
GAUGAAGAACGUAGCGAAAUGCGAUACUUGGUGUGAAUUGCAGAAUUCAGUGAAUCAUCGAGUCUUUGAACGCACAUUGCGCCCCCUGGUAUUCCGGGGGGCAUGCCUGUCCGAGCGUCAUUGCCGCCCUCAAGCACGGCUUGUGUGUUGGGCCCCCGCCCCCCGGCUUCGGGGGGCGGGCCCGAAAGGCAGCGGCGGCACCGCGUCCGGUCCUCGAGCGUAUGGGGCUUCGUCACCCGCUCCGUAGGCCCGGCCGGCGCCCGCCGGCGACCCCAAUCAAUCUUUCCAGGUUGACCUCGGAUCAGGUAGGGAUACCCGCUGAACUUAAGCAUAUCAAUAAGCGGAGGA